UGGGGAAUUUUGGACAAUGGGCGAAAGCCUGAUCCAGCAAUGCCGCGUGUGUGAAGAAGGCCUUCGGGUUGUAAAGCACUUUUGUCCGGAAAGAAAUCCUUGGCUCUAAUACAGUCGGGGGAUGACGGUACCGGAAGAAUAAGCACCGGCUAACUACGUGCCAGCAGCCGCGGUAAUACGUAGGGUGCAAGCGUUAAUCGGAAUUACUGGGCGUAAAGCGUGCGCAGGCGGUUUGCUAAGACCGAUGUGAAAUCCCCGGGCUCAACCUGGGAACUGCAUUGGUGACUGGCAGGCUAGAGUAUGGCAGAGGGGGGUAGAAUUCCACGUGUAGCAGUGAAAUGCGUAGAGAUGUGGAGGAAUACCGAUGGCGAAGGCAGCCCCCUGGGCCAAUACUGACGCUCAUGCACGAAAGCGUGGGGAGCAAACAGGAUUAGAUACCCUGGUAGUCCACGCCCUAAACGAUGUCAACUAGUUGUUGGGGAUUCAUUCCUUAGUAACGUAGCUAACGCGUGAAGUUGACCGCCUGGGGAGUACGGUCGCAAGAUUAAAACUUAAAUGAAUUGACGGGGUCAUAGCU
rnacentral:rRNA from 1 species